CGAACGGCCAUUGGACGAUCAGCCUUUGGGCCCCCUUGAAUCGUUACUGACGUCACUGGAGAACUCCAUGAACGGGGGAUUUUGCUUCUACUUUACGCAGAUCUCCUCUCGUUUACUCGUGUCUCGUCGUGGAUUAACGGAGCAACCUGUUAUUCAGAAGGCAUCCGUUGGGUUUCUUCGUGACGUGAUACUGAUUGUUUUUUCUCGUUCUCGUUUUCCUCAAUACUUAGAAGGAAAGAGACACUCGGUAGACGUACGCAGGUCGUUAGCGAUGGAUGUUUAAAAGUCUUCGAAGUUUUCUAGCGAUCCAGGCAUACCGGAGCUGCCAGGCACUUUGGGUUUUCAGUGGAAUUCGAGGAGUCUUGAAGUAUUUAAAUAUCGAAACCUUUCGAAGUAGCGAAGUUUGGAAUUUUCAUAUCUUGGAUCUUGAAAUCUUCAAUCUUGGAAUUUUAAACCUCGGAGCAUUUUUCAACCUGAAGCAUUAAAUCUUGAGCGAUUGAAUUUUGAAGUGUUGAAUCUUGAACGAGGAGAUCAGGUAAUGAAUUCUGAUAAGAAAACGAUGACAAGUGAUAGAGAUUUUGUAACAGGGUGGAAUCGGUUUAACGUCGAUUCAAAUUCUUUGAUCGUGUUUGCGAUGGUAUUCGUAUUAAUGGUAAAUUGAUUGGUUAUGAGAGCGUGAAUCGAUAAGCGUGAACAAUGAUCGAUGAAUAAACAAUCGUUGUUAUUUAUGAAAAUGUGAAUACGAUACUUGAGAAUGAUCGAUCGAAAAGAAACUAUAACAAUCAUUUUCAAAAGAUGAACUGUAUUCACAAUUGCGCCACAACGUAGCUAAUUAGCAAAUUAAUUAAUCUCUGUUUCAUUUCAAGUUCAUUAUACAUGCGAAUAAAUUUACUAUUUACUGUUGCGUUUCUAUAAAUGUGGAAACCUCGAAAUCUGAUUGUUUGAUAAGGAUUGAAUUUAUAAAUCAAGGAUUAAUAAUAAAUUUAUAAAUUCCCAUUUUAUAUAAUUAAUUCCAGACUAAUUAAAAUCGUUUUAUCUAUUUGUAGUUAAUGAAUCACGGUUCUCGAGUCAUUUAAUCGUUUUUCCCCAACGAUGGAUCAUUUUCAUAUUUUCAAUAUGUAAAAACAUUCAUACUUUUUUUCUUUUGCAAUUCAAACGAAUUUAUCGUAUUAAAGUGAAAUAAGUAUUGUAAGUAAAAUUCAAACACGAUAAAUUACAAGGUGACGAUAAAUUAACACGUCGAUAGUCAAAAUGGAAAUGGUCACGCGUAGUCAGACAUACAUUACGAAAAUUCAAAUGGUUUCGUACGAAUUCAAUUCGCGAUGAGAGUUCCUUUCUUCAUUUGUGAAACCACCUGUAAACAAUGAAACUCAACAGGUGAUCGAUUGACCCAGUUCUCGACAAAUAAAUUCGCUCGAUUACCAAGCUUCCUGAUCCUCGAAACAAAGUGAUCAAUUGCCCAAGGCGAAAUCGCAGUGAGUAAUGAAAUCCAUUCGCGAAACUCCGGAUACGGAGAAGCCGAGAACUCGGGAACUCCACUAGCAAAGACUCGUGUACUAUGUACACUCGAUACCCUUGAGGAAUAGAGAACUUCACUUUGUUAAGACUUAUUUACCGACUAAAUUCUUUUCGUAGAAUUUAAAAUAUCCGAUGUGAAGAUUGGAAAAUCGAGAAAACCUGGGAAAUUAGAAAAACUGCGAAAAUUUGGGAACUUAAAAAAUGAGGAAAAAUUGGGAACGCCGGAAAAUUGGGAAAAUUUAGAAAAGCAGGAAGGCUGGAAAAUCGAGAAAAAUUGGAAAUCUUGAAAAAUUGUGAAAACUGGUGAAAUAGAAAAAAAUUGUGAAUACUGGAAAAUUUGGAAAAGUAGGAAGACUGGAAAAUCGGGAAAAUUUGGAAAUCUUGAAUCUUUUAUUUCACAAAUCACUCUAUUUUUAAUUAAAAACAUGUUACUAAAUGCAAAUUUGAACGUCACUACAUGGAUAUCACUGAAAACAUGAUAAUAGGUAUUAUCCUGUGUCUGAUUAGGUAUACGUGUUUCUACUGUGUGUUUUUAGUCAUGUUUGUAGUAACAUUUACCAUACUAAGUAAGUAAGGCUAUUUCAAUCGUGGAAGUCACCGUGUUAAUUAUAUAUCUCUUUAAUUGUACACAUUUUUUCCCCGAAGAUUAUCACAAAGACUUGUGUAAAUCGACCUUCGUCAGGAUUCUGCGAGAAUGUCGAUCGUAGGUAUAUUUCAUUCAAGUCAAUCUGUCAUUCCGUAAUGACUGUAAAAAUUAAUCGAUUCAUUCAUAUUCAGGAGUAUCACGAACCGAUUGAUUCUUGAUAAAAUCACUCUGACCCAGAACUCGAGCUUUUCAUGUUUUCCAAAUCUCACAUCACUUAAUUGCACUACAAGCACAUUACUCUUUGUUUAUAUUACAUAAUUUUUUCUUGUCAAAACAAGUUGAAAGAUGGUAAAAACAAGUGUGUUCCUUGUUGUUGUUUGGAAAUUAAUCAGGUGUACGUGUAAGAUAUUGAACAAAUGGAAAAAACAAGGUGAACGUUAUCGUAUUUAUUUACGUAACGUUUACGAAAAUUUAUGAGCGGUAAAAAUAUUAAAGAAAAUGAAAGAAUAAAGCGAUUUCGUUAAAGAAAUUGCAGCUGUUACAUUCGCAAAUACUUCAACAUCUUUCUCCCAUUGUAAUCUUGACGUUCGAAUCAGCUUUAUCACUUUUUAAUUCAUGGAAACUUUUCAUCUUUAUCACUGAUAAAUGUAUGCAUGUGAUUUCAACAUUUCGAACAUAAUUUCUGAAAUAUUAUAAUAAACUCUUCAAUUUGAAAUUUUUCUUUUCCUUCAAGAGUCACAAUUAUUAACACAUAAUUGCAAAUUUUGCAUUUAUUAUUUUUCCAUGGUAAUUAGGGAUGGGAUUAAAAGGUGGUAUUCAUAGAAAAUAUUGCUUCAUUCUGUGAUAAUACAUCAAAAGAGGGAUUUACUCGAAUUGAAGCGAAACGAUGUAUGCAUACCUUUCGCAAACGAAAAACAUUUGCAUAGGUAAUUGCAGCUAUAAAUAAAUUUGAGCAGCGAAUUCCGUUAUCAGAGCAACUGAAAGAUCCAAAGCGGAAAAGAAACACACAUUAUACCGUUGCUGUUGGGAGCUGAAGAAUUAAUUCAGGAGAAUGUUAAUUGGGUACUUUGUUCGUUUAUGUUGAUUUAAGAUGAUUUUAAAACUUAUGCAAAUAUCUAAUAUAUGUGCAAAAUACUUAUCUACGUCAAAUUACGUAUAGAUAUAUAAAAGCUUCGGUAAAAAGGUAAGCGAAAAAUAAAUGUAACGUACAAUUAUUUAGAUAAGAAAGUUACACGCGAAAGCAUUUUCGACCGAUGUGUAACUACCGCAGGAAAAUAAAAUUUAAUUCACCGACGGAUUUGGAGCAGCGGCAUUAUUUAGAUGAAUGACGGUAUAAUGCAGGAUGACAGCUUAAGGCGCCACACAAUAAAACACGCGGUUAGAACACUGGUGUCUGUGAAAAAACGAAACACACCACGUGUACUCGAAGCGUUUCGUAAUAUUGAAUCGAUUCCUUCACAAACGUAACCUUCGACUGAACGAAUAAACUUAAAAAUAGUGUAUACGAGAAAUGUAAAGAGUUAGAACAUUCCCAUGAUCAUUAAAGAAGAAAAAAAGAAUUAGAAAUUAAAUUAAAUUUUUUUAAUUAAUCAUGGAACUUGGUAAACUUGGAAAAUUUGAGAACCAACAUCAAGAAAAUUUUUCUUUCUUUUCUUUUUAAUUUUAAUUAGAGUUUCUUGUCACGAGGAGAAAAAAAGACACCUGUUGGGAACGAUACGUUCCUUGAUCUUGUCAGCACCGCUUCCAUUCGGAAGAAGGUAGCCGAUGACCUUGGUAGCAAAGAACAGCCAUGGAAAGCCCAUGGUUCCCAACAGUUCUUGGAGUUUGCCAGAGGCGGACACCAAAGAACCGGAGAAGGUCGUUCGUGUGAUUACCAGAAGCCACGAAGACGAGUUUGAAACCGGUUCAUGGAAGAGAAUCGAGAUGAAGGAGUAAGAAGACGAGUAUUCUUGAGCGUGUGUAAAAUGGUUCGAGAGGAGGAGGAAAGAAAUCGAAGCAGAAUUUCAUUCGAACCAUCGUUUCAUCAUUGAUUUGCAAGUUUUUUUGGUCAAUUAAUAGAUCGUUGCAUAUCAAAUGGUCGAUUUGGAAAUAUAGACAUUUUGAUAGAAUUUGAUGACAUAAAAGUAUCGCAAAAUGGCACUUGUGAUAUAUCAAAUUGAAGCUUAAAGUUUCACGAAAAUAACCACAUAAGGGUUUGAUUGAUAUUUUUCAUAUAAAAUGGCUGGUGAUCAAUUAUAACAAAUUAUGACCAUAUAAACGUUUUAUUAAUAUUCUAAACCUUGCAAAUGAUCAUGACAUUGAUAAUAAUAAAAAUGUAAUUAUUUCCACUUGUAACUGGAAAACAACGAUCAAUUAGAAAAAGGAUAUUAAAAUGAUAGAAGGCUUUCAAUUUAUCCAUAAUAUAGUUACAUAAUGCAAAAACAUGUUCUAUAUUUUAAUGUUUCAUCAUUUCCAUUGGCGUGUGUCACUCGAAAUGAUGUCUAAGCGAAGGUUGGAUCUAUUGUGAACGUUCAAUUCGAAGUAGUUGGAAUUUUUAGACACUUCCCUCUAACGAAGACGGUUCAUUCAAUUGGCCAAAAUAUAAGUGACUGUUUGAAACUCUAUAUCAACGAAAUUGACACGAGCCACGAAUUUCGACGUCAACUUUUUAAUAGGAAUCAAUGAUCACCAGAAAUUCCAAUUACUCGUUACAUAAGAAAUAAAAGAAAAAUUACAAGUUUCGCUCCAAAUGGAAUGAAAAUGAAAUGAAAUAGAAUAAAUUUGUCAAUUCUUUGCAGGAAAACAUAUAAAAAACUUCGACAAUAAUGGAAGACUGUUGAAUUGACUAAUUUCUAUACAACGAUACUAUAGUUUUAUCAACUACUUAUUUCAACCACAAAUUACCUGAUAAACGUGUAUCGUUAAAAAAAUAUAAGUGAACACGCAAGCGUGAAUGACGUAAGAAUUUAUGGAACAAACUUGUAAGUUCUUCAUCGCGCGUAAUUCUUGAUAUUUAAAAGUAAAUUGCAUGUCGUUGAAAUGUCACCGAAUGCUGCAACGAAACGGGUCUCGAAAUGUGCAGUUAUCGAUGUCAUUACUCUCUCCUCUUGUUGACAACCAACUAACCGCGUAAAGGGAUAUUUAAACGAGUAAAUAAAGAGAUACAGGGUGUCCUUCUUUAUCCUCUUAAUUAUUCGUUUAUCAAUAAAAUGUCUCAGAUAGAAGAACAAGACGAGAACAAGUGGCCAUCUCAAGAAUUAAAAUUGGCCAUUCCAGAAUCACUCGCUCCUACAGACUAUCAAAAACUCCAGCUCCCCAAUGUGAAGAGUGUGACUCGGCAAUAUCCAUAGAUCAUUUAAUCCUCCACUGUACUAAAUAUGAUUUCCUCCGCAACAAACAUAAACUAGAAUCUUCUCUCAAGGACAAUUUAAAAAACAGUAAAAUACAGGACUUACUCAAAUUUAUAAAAGAUACUAAACUAAUAGAACUGAUAAUGUAAGUUUUACCUACUCCUUGAUGUCGCUAAUAACCUUGUAAUUGAUGUGACAAUAAACCUUAAUUUAAAAAAAAAAAAAA